UCGAAAUCAUUUACCACAGUCCAAAGUUUGUUCUCAUAAUCUCAUCAUCAUCGAGUUCGAUCCCCUCUGAUUCAGUAGAAGAAGAAUUCGAAGCAGUUUUAUACGAGACUGGAGUCUGCGAGAUUCAGAUCGGUGGAGAGAAGAGCGUUUCGUAUCGAAGAUCGUUGGGGUACGACCGUACGAGAAAGAAGAGGAGAGAUUGAAGAUUUUGGUCGAAGAGGUUGCUGGGUUUUCGAAGAGGUUGCUGAUAAGCUGUUUGCUGCAAAAAAAACUAACUUCCAAAAGCCUUACUUGAAAUCAAGAGCAUGGACGUGUUUUGAUUAUCAUUUAUUUUGCAGAGCUCUGAUCACGUCAUAUGCAACUGGGUUGUUUAUAGCUCAGCUGAAAUUUCGGAGGACUUAUCAUUUGUUGCAAAUGACGAAUCAGACUUUGUACACAAACACCUACUGUUGUUAGGAUAUAAUAUAUAAUGUAGCAAUGUAUUAUAACAAUGUUUCUAAAUUCAGUAGCAUCGAAUCAAACAAUAUUGCUCAUAUUCCCGCAGCAUCGCGCGGGUGCAUUUUCUAGUUAGGGCUAACUAUA